GCGGCCCCUUCCUCCUUGGGUGGAUUCCACUGCCUUCCCCUCUCUCCUCUCUAUCCGCUCACACCUCCUCUCUGCUCACCAUGAAUGCCAUGCUUGUUCCCACUCAGGCUGUUCCCGCCAGCACCCCAGCCACAGCCACCAAGAAGUUGAGAAAAGCUGCUUCAGCUCUUUCCAAGGAUCAGGAGUGUCCACGGCAAACAAGGGCUCUCCCUCUCCAUCCUGCCCCGACCCAUGGAGUCCAGGAGGGACGUGACCAUAGGACCCUUCUACCAAAGGCCUUAGCAACAUCUGUUGAGUAAGACGAAAACACUGGUUGAAGAUUAAGCCACUUUGCCCUGGCUGGCCUGGCACAGGCUGGAAAAUGUGUUUGGCUCGCGGGGCCCUGAGGCUGGGCUGAAAUCCUAUGUCCAGGGAUGAUGGUCCUGAUCCCAGGGGAGUAGGAUUCAAGCAAAGUGGGUGAGCUGGGGACAUAGAGAAAAUAUGACAGGCAGACAGACACACGGUGUGAGGCAAGAGGGAGGGGGCAGGGAGGCCUGAGUCCAGCCCUGCAGAGGCUGAAGGGCAGGCAGAGAAUGGAAAAGGAAGGAAAAAUACAGCCCGCCCUUUCCUCCCUCUUUGAACCGGCUCAGAGCACUUGCCUCGCCCUCAGUGAGGAAACAGGUGCUAAGUGCUCUCUGGGGGGAGCCAAACUUUCUCCCAUUUCGCCUGGGCCACUUUCUCACUCCCUGAGGACAGCACUGAGCUUCCAGCUGGAGGCAGGCCUCCCACCCAGCAGCAGUCCUGUUUACUGAGAACCUAAUCUACCAGGCAUUGACUGAACGCCUGUCUCCCUGUCACUCAAUAAACACGUACUGAGUA